AGUGUAUCCUACCGAGAUGGAGGCAAUGUCCAGAUAGCUCCCCCAUUUAAUUUUGAGGAGCCCAGUGUGAACAGAACCGCUGAGGAUGGAAGUGAAAUAGACUCCACUAACUUUAGUAAUCCAAUGUUUUUCAAAGCAGAGGGUAUUGACACUACCCUCCGCAGUGCUCCGGAUAUUCAGGCUCCAUCAGACUCCAUAACAUUGUCACAGAGUGAUACUGCUCACACAAAUGGACAUCUAGACUCAUCCAUUUAACCUAAUGUGUAUAGCAAAUCACCAAUCUACAAACGUUCUGUAUACAGAGAGAUGAGGAAAGAAUGUCUGAUGUGAAUGUUGUAUGUGUGCUAGUGAAUACAGCCAUACUUUUGUAUUUCAUGUUUAUUUUGUAUAUAAUCAAAUUCAUAUCCAAUGUUUUUUUUUAAUAUGUCACAUGUUUUGAUAUUGCUUUUGCAAAAAAAAAAGAAGAAGACACAAAUGCAUGGUUGCAGGAAUUGGUUAAUUUGAUGAUUAUUAAAAGUGCAGCAUAAUGUACAGAUGAUUAUCCAAUAAACCUUUUAUUUU
rnacentral:misc_RNA from 1 species